UAGACGGAAGGUCACUCAAGUGUCAACAUUA
rnacentral:piRNA from 1 species